rnacentral:rRNA from 1 species
UACGGAGGGGGCAAGCGUUAUUCGGAAUUAUUGGGCGUAAAGGGCGCGUAGGCGGCGCGAUAAGUCAAAGGUGAAAUCCCUCGGCUCAACUGAGGAACUGCCUUUGAGACUGUCGAGCUCGAGGCCGGGAGGGGGUAGCGGAAUUCCCAGUGUAGCGGUGAAAUGCGUAGAUAUUGGGAGGAACACCAGUGGCGAAGGCGGCUACCUGGACCGGUUCUGACGCUGAUGCGCGAAAGCGUGGGUAGCAAACGAGG